CCCCGCCCUCACACCUUGGUCACGCCCCUGAGGCAAGUCCCCCACCUGAGGAUGAGGACACGCAGGCGUGGUGUGCUGAGGAAGGCUUCGGGUCCCACGUGGCCGACACGGUUGCCCUGCAGAUGCAGCUCCUCCAGGGCCUCAGGCAGAUCAGGGGGCACAAAGGACAGCUCGUUGUGGCUCAGGGAUUGAGUCCAAGACCUUAACACUGAACCUUCCUGGUCCGCCUUUUAAAAUCGGAGAGUUACCUUGCUAAGUUAGUAAACUGAUCAGGCUGGGCUCAGA